rnacentral:rRNA from 1 species
AUUGAACGCUGGCGGCAGGCUUAACACAUGCAAGUCGAGCGAGCGGCGGACGGGUGAGUAAUGUCUGGGAAACUGCCUGAUGGAGGGGGAUAACUACUGGAAACGGUCGCUAAUACCGCAUACCAUCAGCUGUGCCCAGAUGGGAUUGGCUAGUAGGUGGGGUAAUGGCUCACCUAGGCGACGAUCCCUAGCUGGUCUGAGAGGAUGACCAGCCACAGUGGAACGGUGACACGGUCAAGGAUCGUACGGGAGGCAGCAGAGGGGAAUAUUGCACAAUGGGCGCAAGGGUGAUGCAGCCAGGCGGCGUGUGUGAAGAAGGGCCUCGGGUUGUAAAGCACUUUCAGCGAGGAGGCGGUACACGCAGAAGAAGCACCGGCGAACUCCGCGACAGCAGCCGCGGUAAUAC